AUGAUUUUCUCUCCCACUUUCUCUAACUUCAGUAUAUGAGAGGCAGCAGGCAGUAACAGGAGUCGCUCCUUCGUUGCUCUAUUGCAAAAUCAAGUGCCACUGGCAGAUGCCCAGUGCUUUUAGAGGCCUGUGUAAGGUGCUGUGUGCUACUGACAGGAGGAGGGUUCCAACCUGGUGCUAUUAAUACCACCACCAAUAGAAUCGAUGGGGAAAACUUAUCCUCUUACGUUGACAGGAUAGCACAGGAGGGAGGGGAGAGAGAUAGAGGCAGUGAGACACAUAGAGCAGCAGCAGCAGCUCUGACGCAGUUUAGUUUCUGACAAAUAAUCCUUUAUGAUUUCAAAAUGAAGAGCAAAACAAAUGUUUAAGUCACAGUUUUGUUUCUAUUCUACUCUAUCUCUCUUUCUCUCUUCAUCUCUCUUCAUCUCUCUCUGUCUCUAUCAGUUUUUGUUUUACACUCUCUUGCUUGUCACAACACACUUACUUAACAUCGGGCAUGUAAUGCUAUUAGCUUUGUGCCCACAUGUUUGUAUGUGACCCUGUCUGUGUGCAUGCUGACUUCGGGGCAACAAGCUGAUAUAUAAGCAGUCCUCAGUCAGGCACCUUUUUCUCCUGUCGGUUCAGUUAUGAACACACUGCCAGGCUUUUCCGGAGCCAGGAUCUCAGGCUGCUGGGCUUUAAGGGCAGAUAGCAGUAGGAGAGGUGAAGGCUCUCUGGACAGGCUUCUCCCAUCUGUCAACACAGGUCUUUCACCACGCAAACGAACCACCAGCCAAUGCAAAUCAGAACCCCCCCUGCUGCGCACAAGCAAGAGAACCAUCUAUACAGCAGGUCGUCCACCCUGGUACAAUGAACAUGGCACCCAGUCCAAAGAAGCAUUUGUCAUUGGUCUUUGUGGAGGAAGUGCUUCUGGUAAAACAACAGUAGCCCGGAAGAUAAUUGAAGCUUUGGAUGUUCCUUGGGUUGUGCUCCUUUCAAUGGACUCCUUUUACAAAGUCCUUUCAGAUGAAGAACAGUUGCUAGCUGCAAGCAAUGACUAUAAUUUUGACCACCCAGAUGCAUUUGACUUCAACCUGCUUGUCUACACACUCCGAAAACUUAAACAGGGCAAGAGUGUGAAGAUACCGGUGUAUGACUUCACUACACAUGGCCGUCAGAAAGAGUGGAAAACUGUGUAUGGUGCCAGUGUCAUUAUAUUUGAAGGAAUAAUGUCCUUUGCAGAUAAGGAGUUGUUGAAGUUGUUAGACAUGAAAAUAUUCGUGGACACAGAUUCUGACAUACGACUGGUACGGAGGCUUAGGAGGGACAUUUCUGAGCGAGGCCGAGAGAUUGAAGGAGUUAUCAAACAGUACAACAAAUUUGUAAAGCCUGCCUUUGAACAAUAUAUAGAGCCGACCAUGAGACUAGCAGAUAUUGUUGUGCCACGAGGGGGUGGGAACAUGGUGGCUAUUGAUCUGAUUGUUCAGCAUGUGCACAGUCAGCUGGAAGAGAGGAAACUCCGCUGGGAUAUGGCGGCGCUGGCCUCUGCCCAUCAAGCUCAGCCCCUACCCCAAACGCUCUGUGUUUUGGAGAGCACGCCGCAGGUCCGCGGUAUGCACACCAUUAUCAGGAAUAAAGAGACAAGCAGAGACGAGUUCAUCUUCUACUCCAAAAGGCUGAUGAGACUCCUCAUUGAGAGAGCGCUCUCCUUCCUUCCAUCUCAGGUCCAUGUUGUUCAUACCCCACAAGGCCAGGACUAUGAAGGAAGGACCUUUCAAGGGAAGAGGGUCACCGGGGUAUCGAUCCUCAGAGCAGGAGAAACCAUGGAGCCUGCACUCAGAGCCGUCUGCAAAGACGUUCGUAUUGGCAAGAUUUUAAUCCAGACCAAUCAGGACACAGGAGAGCCUGAGUUGCAUUACUUGCGUCUGCCCAGAGAUAUCAGUGAGGACCAUGUGAUCCUUAUGGACUGUACUGUGUCCACUGGUGCUGCGGCCAUGAUGGCAGUACGAGUCCUACUGGUGAGGACCAUGAUGUACAGGAGGAUAAAAUUCUGUUGGUCUCUCUGCUGAUGGCUGAGAUGGGGGUCCACUCAGUAGCCUAUGCCUUUCCUCAGGUCAAAAUAAUCACCACUGCUGUUGACAAAAAGGUCAAUGACCUUUUCCACAUUAUUCCUGGCAUAGGGAACUUUGGGGAUCGGUACUUUGGCACUGAUGCACCGCCUGAUUGGAGUGACGAAGACAUGGAUGAACCUAGCUGUUAAAAGCUAUACCGAUCCUGCUGAACUUGAGCACAUGGCUGGACACUUAAUGCACUAUAGACCUAAUGGGUCUGACUUGCAAAAUAUAGUUAAAUACCACAAGCAGCAAAUAUUUUAUAUACUUUUUAGUGUCUUUGGAAAAUCUAGCAUAUUGAAGUUUUUUAAAAUGUGAACAUUUAUUUUUAAAAAUGUAAAUGUUGAAAUGUAUAUUAAAAUAUCUGUGGUAUUGUUUUACAAUUUUACAAUAUUGUUUUAUUGUCAACAAGGAAAUAUGAUUUUAUUUUAGUAGGUGGCUUUUAUGCCACAUUUCUUUCUUUUGUUUGUUUGUUUUUAGGAUUACAGGUUUCUGAAAACACAUUGACAAACAGGUCUACCUUAGAGCUUUGUUGUGCCGCACAAAGUGAGUUCUUUUAACGACCACUUCAUCGGAAAAUGUGUGUGGGUGUUGUUUCUUUAACUUGGUUUCCCCUCUACUUGCAAAGAAAUUGCUGACCAAACCAUGAUAGUCUGUUAAUGUUGAGCUUGAUCUUUUUAGAACAAUGAAUUGAGCAAUGAAAUUAGUAUUUUUAGUAUGGGGGGUGGGGGGGGGGGGGGUGUACACCUCUGUAAACACUUACUUAUGCAAGUCUCUAAAGUAGAAGAAUUGAAUUUGGCACUUUCUUGAGCCAUGACAAAAUAGCAAAGCAGAAUUAGCAUUAGAUUUUUAAAAAAUAAUAAUAACUUGAGUGAAUUAUGAUCACUGAUUAUUUGGUCACAAAAGUAGGGACUUUUUCAGGUCAAAUGAAAUGAAUCGUGAGGUACAGAAUAUCUUAUUCUUUAUUAUAAAUAGAUUUUUUUACACACACAAUAUAUGUGUGUGUGUGUGUG